GACUGUUUACCAAAAACAUAGCCCUAGAAAUAAUCUAAGGUGAGACCUGCCCAACGACAUAAAUGCCUCUCUAAAAAAAAGAAUGAUUGUCAAAUGGCUGCAGUAUUCCUGACUGUAUUAAGGUAGCACAAUCAAUCGCCGCCUAAUUGGCGGAUAGUAUGAACGGUACUACGAGGUUUCCACUGUCUCAAGUAUAGACUCAAAAAAAUUGAAAUAAUAGUCAAGAUGCUAUUUAAAAUCGUAAGACGAUAAGACCCUAUAAAGCUUAACUACAACCAUGUCACCUUAAAAUGGCAAGGUAGGGUAGUUUACUUGGGGCAAGGACUUUUUAAAAGAAAAAAAAGUAAGCAAAGUAAAUAAGAAAUUUAUUGUAUAAACCAUAAAUUUAACAAUCACAAAGUGGGCUAUAGUGACCCGUUAACAUCUUAAAAGAGAUAACGAACAUUUGAUAAAAGCUACUUUAGGGAUAACAGGAUAAUUUCAUCAAAGAGACGAAAUCGCUGAUGAAGUUUGUCACCUCGAUGUUGAAUUGGGAUAACCGAGCAGAGCAGAAACUGCUUAAGGUAGGUCUGUUCGACCUUUAAAUAUCUUACAUGAUUUGAGUUCAUUCCGUA
rnacentral:rRNA from 1 species